AAUGGAAAUGAAUUGAGCAGAAUGGAAAGUGAGAUGCGGGGUGGAGGGGCAGAAAUCUGGGCUCACACAGGACACCAUUGAAGUUUGAAAGACCAAAGUCCACCCCUGUACACUCGUACAUGCUGGUGGGAUAAGAGCUGGAAAGAAGACAGAGAGGAAUUCCCCAAGUGAAAUAACCCUUUUCCUGGCAUCGAACAGACCAGGCUUCCCAUGCAUACGGGAAGUGUGAUGAUGGGAGGAAUACAGCUGAAGGUGGUUAAUGCAGGUAAAAGAGUGGGGAGAAAAGCAGUGCUGGAUUUAGGGCAGUGAGGGCAGUUGAGGGGGUGCAAGAUGAAGGGGAGAAGAAGGAGGAGGAGGAGGAAGUAUAGUAUAGUAUAGUAUAGUAUAGUAUAGUAUAGUAUAGUAUAGUAUAGUAUAGUAUAGUAUAGUAGUGGUUUUUUCUGGGGGUACUCAAGUACCAGCAUUGGUACUCAAGUACCAGUACUGGGGUAUGCAGUACCAGCACCUUUUUUCUAGAAAGCACUGACAAUAACUAUCACCACCUAUAUUUAUAUAGGUAAAUAUCUAGGUAAAGUACCAAAAGGAAUUACUGUGAAAAUAAGAUGACGACAACAACAACAACAAAAAUGUUGGGCAGCUCCCAACAAAAAAAUAGUGAAAACGCAAUACAAAAAAUAGCAAAAGCACACAUUUAGGGAUUGUGUGCAAGGUUUUGUCUUUGCUCCAGAUGCUAUCUUACCAAAGUCCACCACUGGAAAAAUAAGGGGGGGGGUGAAUGAAAAAGUCCUUGGCAUCUGGAAUGAGGGCUGGGCAUGGGCUGGGACAUUUGUGUGUGCCACCUUGAACACAGGAUAAAGAAAUAAAACAAUUAGAUCUUGGUUCCAGGGUCUAUUCCCCCCUUCUCCCUUCAGUCCCCCCACCCCCACCCCUCACCCUGGGUCAUUGUCAUGCGAUUGGCUGGAUGUGAAGGCAUUCAGUCGAGACAGCAAGGCAGCUAAAUUGCUUUAUCCCUGUAAAAAUCGAUGACUAAACCUAUGGUGUUGUGUACACUGUUUCAUAUGCACCAGUGCAGCGAUAAAUUAUUCAUGUUGUGCUCUGUCAGCAGUUUUACUGUAGACAGCAAGGCUACCAGCAGCACCUAAUCUUCGAGCACAUGAGUGCAUCUUUCAGUGAUUAUGGCCCGUGAGCAUAUUUUAUGAGAGGUGGGCCAGAUGUUGUGUUGCUUUCAAAACGCAAAUGUGACUGCUUUGCUUUUUCCAACCUGUCUGUCCUUCACUGCUUACAUCUCCUGGAAUUUUCUCUCUCUCUUAAAGUUGCUUUACGUGAGCAGGUGUGACAUGCUGAGGGAUAGUCGAAAAAUGGAAUCGUUCAGAGCUCUCACCUCCGAGACAAGACAG